rnacentral:tRNA from 1 species
AAAGCUUUAAGUUAAUAAAACUAGUAGCCUUCAAAGCUGAAAAUAAACUGAGUUUAAGCUUU